rnacentral:rRNA from 1 species
UUUGACGUUAGCGGCGGACGGGUGAGUAACACUGGGUAACCUACCUAUAAGACUGGGAUAACUUCGGGAAACCGGAGCUAAUACCGGAUAAUAUUUCGAACCGCAUGGUUCGAUAGUGAAAGAUGGUUUUGCUAUCACUUAUAGAUGGACCCGCGCCGUAUUAGCUAGUUGGUAAGGUAACGGCUUACCAAGGCGACGAUACGUAGCCGACCUGAGAGGGUGAUCGGCCACACUGGAACUGAGACACGGUCCAGACUCCUACGGGAGGCAGCAGCC